rnacentral:rRNA from 1 species
UACUAGAGUAGCACUCGCAUAUCAAUAAGCGGAGGAAAAGAAACUAACAAGGAUUCCCCUAGUAACGGCGAGUGAAGCGGGAAGAGCUCAAAUUUGAAAUCUUAAAGGGUUUCCCUUUACGAAUUGUAGUUUAAAGAAGUGUUUUCUGUUGAGGUUUUGGUAAAAGUUCUUUGGAAUAGGACAUCAUAGAGGGUGAGAAUCCCGUAUUUGACCUUUACUUUCAACUUUGUGAUACACUUUCAAAGAGUCGGAUUGUUUGGGAAUGCAGUCCAAAAUGGGUGGUAAAUUUCAUCUAAAGCUAAAUAUUGGCGAGAGACCGAUAGCGAACAGGUACCGUGAGGGAAAGAUGAAAAGAACUUUGAAAUGAGAGUUAAACAGUACGUGGAAUUGUCAAAAGGGAAGCGUUUGACACCAGUGUUGUUUUUCUGAAAAUCAAUUAAAGAACUGUUUAUGCUAAGCUGUUUAGACUUUAUCAGCUAUCUGUUUAGUUUUGAGCUUUUCUUUAAUGCACUUUUCAGUUAACAAGUCAACAUCAAUUUCUUUUGCUGUAAAAAAGCUUGAGGAAGGUGGCUUGAGAUUCGUCUUAAGUGUUUAUAGCCUCUUGCCUAUGCAGUCGGAGAGAUUGAGGUCUGCAGCGUAGAUCCUUCGGGGCUAAAUGCAUUUGUGCUAAGUUAUAGCAUUUUAUAGACAACUUGUUGACUAUGAUUUGUCUUGUAGCUUACUCGCUUAUGUUAUUUUACCUACGCUUAGGAUGUUGAGCGCAUGUCUCUCUCU